CCUACGGGGGGCUGCAGUGAGGAAUAUUGGUCAAUGGGCGCGAGCCUGAACCAGCCAAGUAGCGUGAAGGAAGACUGCCCUACGGGUUGUAAACUUCUUUUAUAAAGGAAUAAAGUGAGGCACGUGUGCCUUUUUGUAUGUACUUUAUGAAUAAGGAUCGGCUAACUCCGUGCCAGCAGCCGCGGUAAUACGGAGGAUCCGAGCGUUAUCCGGAUUUAUUGGGUUUAAAGGGUGCGUAGAUGGGUGGUUAAGUCAGUUGUGAAAGUUUGCGGCUCAACCGUAGAACUGCAAUUGAUACUGGCAGUCUUGAGUACAGUUGAGGUAGGCGGAAUGCGUGGUGUAGCGGUGAAAUGCAUAGAUAUCACGCAGAACUCCGAUUGCGAAGGCAGCUUACCAAACUGCCACUGACAUUGAUGCACGAAAGUGUGGGUAUCAAACAGGAUUAGAUACCCGAGUAGUC
rnacentral:rRNA from 1 species